GAGCUCUCUUCAAAAUGGACAGGAAGGGCUACAGUUUGUUCAAGAGAUAGCUCAGGAGCUGCGAGAACUGCGAAAAAUUGGCGCAGCUUUCAGAAAUCCGUCCGCUCCCUAACUUCGAAUGGAGAUUUCCACGGUACAGUCGAGCAUUUUGGUGCAAAAGUGUAGAAAUCAGUUGCAUUCCUUCAGUCACCCACAAUCGUAAACAAUCAAAAUGAUUUCAUGUACAGGUACCAGCCGGCCAAAACUCUUGGAAGGAAAAACC